rnacentral:rRNA from 1 species
GGAGUUUGGACCGUGUCUCAGUUCCAAUGUGGGGGACCUUCCUCUCAGAACCCCUACUGAUCGUGGGCCAGGUGGGCCGUUACCCCGCCUGCUGCCUAAUCAGACGCAUCCCCAUCCCUUAGCGAUAAAUCUUUGGUUCACUUCAGAUGUCCUCGACGAACAACAUAGGGUAUUAAUCCGACUUUCGCCGGGCUAUGCCCUACUAAGGGGAAGGUUGGAUACGCGUUACUCACCCGUGCGCCGGUCGCCAUCAUCGGUUGCAAGCAACCGACAUGCUGCCCCUCGACUUGCAUGUGUUAAGCCUGUAGCUAGCGUUCAUC